ensembl:lncRNA
GGACUCCAAAGGCCUAUGUAUGGAGCCUUACUGUACAAUAUGUCCCUUUUUGCCCUUGAAUUUACAGCUUGCAGAGCUCAAUCUGGGAGCCGUACUGUGUCCACAAUGCGCUCUUCGUUCAAGGAAGAGCCAAGCCUCAUCAAUUAUACACUAGCAUGACUCGUCAAAGGUGCACACGAGACAAAUAUUUAGGUUAUGUCCCAAAUGGCACCCUAUUCCCUACAGUGCACUACUUUUGACCAGGGCCCAUAGUGUUCUGGUGAAAAAUAGUGCACUAUGAAGGGAAUAGGAUGCCAUUUGGGAUUCAGAGUUAGUCAAUUGGCAGUGUGCCACCCACUCAGUAUGAUAAAUUAUUAGUAAUUUAGGAGUUGUUUUAAGGACUGGGAUUAGGAAGAGCGGCGAUAACAACUAAGAAUAGUGGCUUAAUCACUUUUAACGAAUAUCCCCCAGAGCCCAAAGAUCACACUAGAUAAAUGCUACAGUGCUACAAGGCUGCUUUCAUGUGUGGUGGCUCCAAUAUAUCAUUUUAAGAAGGAAGUCCAGAGUUGUAUGGACAAAUGUAAUUAAGCACCCAAUCAUUCCUCAAAAGGGAAAAUCUUGUUGCUAUCAAUACCUAGGAGAGCCAGGGUAAGGAAACCAGCAUGUACUUUGGGUGAACUAUUCCUUUAACUAGUAGAUGGUUGCACUUUGUAAAAGCUAUUUUCCUCCAGCACUGCUGAUGCUUUGUGAAGGUUCUGCUAUGUCAUAACUGUCCUACCAAGCUGUUGACCUACUUACCAAUAGAGUACAAUACAGAGAUGGGCUAUAUGUGACAGCAUCUCCAAGAGGGAGGUUGUUUCUGUCUGCCUCACCACCCAGUUAUAGUUCAGGCCAAAGCCCCACUGGGACCCAUUAUUACUUUGGUAGAUGAGUAGCAGAGAAUGUCCUCGUACAUUAACGGUGUAGAGGUUUUGUACAGGUUAAGGAGGGAUAGCUAUAUCAUUUUUGGGAAAAAAAUUAAACGUAUGACUUCAAAUAUUCUUUCUUGGCAUGCUUGGUUUGGUGGAUGAGUGCCAUUUUAUAUAUAUGGUACAUCUUGUAGCUAUCUUCAUUUCAUCCCACCUCAUGUAGGCCUAAAUAGCUACAGUACUUACUAGGUUACCAUAAGAAUGAGGCCUAUAUAGCUACAGUACUUACUAGGUUACCAUAAGAAUGAGGCCUAUAUAGCUACAGUACUUACUAGGUUACCAUAAGAAUGAUGGAUAAUCCAUUAUCCUAGAUUUUGCUGUACCACUGGGCUAAUGUAAAACUGCAUAGGACUACAUACAACUAGAUUACUUGUAGAGGUCAGGUGGACUUCAUCCAAAGAGCCAACGGUGUCUUUCUGACUGCAUAGUGAAACCGAAUCCGUCUGCCCAGCUACUAAAAGCUGAAAAGGGAUGAGGUCCUUGGUGCUGAAUCCUGCUGACUGCAGGGGGUUUGGUAUGAACUCUCAGGGGUGAGUCUAGGACUGUCCUGCAGUGACGGUGUCAUAUGUCAGUCAUGGAUUUAUUGAUCCGAAGAGAGCUCGGAAAGUACAGUUAGACUCCAGAGGACGUAAUGGAGACCUUUAUGAGGCAAAUUAGCAUCAAAACAUUUUGUGAAUUAUUAGCAUUUAGUGCUGUAGUUUGCGGUUGUAGGUAGAUCAUAUUGUGGGUUUGGUGAUACAAAGGGGUAUUGGUAGGAAAAUGUUCCUCCUUGGUCCUUCUUUAUAAAGAGAGAGCCUGUAGACCGCUUUAUGUAUAAAGUGAAGCUUUGUGUUCACCAUGAAACACUUUUUCUGUUUGGAUAUUGUGUGAUUUUUAUAUUGACGACUGGUCUUCAUCUUACCACCCCAAGCAGUUAGAUCAUGAACAAGAUGCACUAUUCGGUUUUUAUACAACUACAGAUUCCAGAUUCAGCAUAGGGACUGUGAGAUUGGUGUCGUGCAGUUCUUAAGUGUUUCUCCCAAAGACUGAAAUGGUUCUGCUGCUGGCGUUAAUGAGAACGGCAUAAAGGAAAGCAAGUUUUGAACAGGCAACAGUGAACUGUUUGUGAAUGGAUGCCAGCGGCAGCAGAAUAGGACUCUGUCACAGAGUGAGGCCUCUGUUUGCCUGAUAGUCUAUGCUCCCCUCCUUGCUCUUUCUCACUCUCUCUCUCUCUGUCCCCUCAUCCUUUGAUGUGCAUCAAGCAAGCUUAUAUGUGAGAAUUUUCUAGACAAGUGCACUGGAAUGCAUUUGUGAGUGUCUCGGGCAUCGUAAUGCUUUUCACUCUUUGUCAUGCUCGGUUUAGAAAUAUUGCCUAAACACAGAGAGAUCUUGAUUAUAAAUCAUCACAUUUAUUUCAGAGCAUGCACUGUCAGAGGUAAGAGGGAACUGGUGCAUAUGCUGCUAGUCAUGUUUCUUUUAGCGACUGGGUCAAUGAAUUUGCAUUUCAGGUGGUUUUAAUUGGCAGAUUAGCAUAUAUGCAAAAUAGGAUGUUAUGCUAUUUUAAUCAGGCAUGAGAGGAAUGUUGCUCCUGACGCUGAUGCUGUGAAAUUUUUCAGAUGAAACACUGAUGAUAUUCUGUCUCAGAGCGGAAGCGGGUGGAUGAAGACUGUGUGCUGUGUAUAUGUAGUUAUUUUGUACUGAGUCAAAGCUUUAAGGGCUAACGCAUUUAAAUCAGGCCCAAGGGCUUAAAGGACCCUAAUGCUGGACACUCCCUUCAUUUUGGAUAAUUAUCUUGAAUAAACAUGACUGUUAACCUAGAAAGUAACAGUAAUUUGGAGCCAGAUUCACGGUCAUUUGACGCAAAAGGCUGAAAAUACUUUUAGACAGGAAAGGAGCAUUCUUAUUAGAUAGGUUUUGUUCCUAGCCCAUCAUUGAAAAUACGAAUUUGUUCUUAACUGACUUGCCUAGUUAAAUAAAGGUUAAAAAAAAAGAAAGUAGUAAACCAACCUACCUCCGUUUCCAUACUGUUUUCCCGGUUGGCUCUACUGAACGCAACCCAUGCAGUCUUAAUGAGCAGCUUAGUUCGUUAUUUUAGACCUUAAAGUUAUCAUUCAUUACCCUGACUUUAGUCCAUGGACCAGGAUAAACUGUAAUCCAGUAACCAAUAGCAAGAGUGCAAUUCUUCAUCUUGGUCUUCAGACCAAUUUCUUGUAUUUUUUUAGGAAGUGAGCUUUAUGCAACGUCUUUUUGAGUGUGGACACAUCGCACCUUUUUGCUGGUAUUCAGACUUAAAAAUGGAGGAUUUUCACUUAUUGUGAGCCACCACCAAAUGACUACCCUUAAUGAUACAAAGGGAGUUUCCUCAAUAUUGCAAUAAAUCUAGUCUCCAUCAAAUGUAUUUAUAAAGCCCUUCUUACAUCGGCUGAUAUCUCAAAGUGCUGUACAGAAACCCAGCCUAAAACCCCAAACAGCAAGCAAUGCAGAUGUAGAAGCAAGCAGAAGUCUCCAUCAAGUUAUGGUGAGCAUUGUGACACAAAAUAGCCAGCCUGGGGGAAGUAAAUUACCGCAAGGAGUUGCCCCAUUUCAAUAUUGCAAUAAAUAACAACUUUAUACUCCAUUAUAAACUGG